rnacentral:rRNA from 1 species
AACGAACGCUGGCGGCAUGCCUAACACAUGCAAGUCGAACGAGACCUCCGGGUCUAGUGGCGCACGGGUGCGUAACGCGUGGGAACCUUCCCUUAGGUUCGGAAUAACUCCCCGAAAGGGGUGCUAAUACCGGAUAAUGUCUUCGGACCAAAGAUUUAUCGCCUUUGGAUGGGCCCGCGUUGGAUUAGCUAGUUGGUAGGGUAAAAGCCUACCAAGGCGACGAUCCAUAGCUGGUCUGAGAGGAUGAUCAGCCACACUGGGACUGAGACACGGCCCAGACUCCUACGGGAGGGAGCAGUGGGGAAUAUUGGACAAUGGGCGAAAGGAUGAUCCAGCAAUGCCGCGUGAGUGAUGAAGGCCUUAGGGUAGUAAAGCUCUUUUACCCGGGAUGAUAAUGACAGUACCGGGAGAAUAAGCUCCGGCUAACUCCGUG